rnacentral:lncRNA from 1 species
GGAAGAGAAAAAGACCGGUCUCUGUUUGGAAAUUACAAACAUAGAAGAACUUAGAAACAAUGGGUUUCUAGAUUGGGUGGAAGGACUGGCUUGGGAUCCUGAGAGAGCAAGAAAAGUUUACCGGGAGCUUCAGAAAAAGUUAUUCAUCAUUUUUGGAGUGGAUAUUCAGAAGUGACUUCCCUCUUUUGCUCUGGCAUUGAUGCAUUCACAUCAAUGGUGAAUUCAGACUUCAGAAGAACUGACCCAAGGACAAAGGUCCACCCAGGCCAUGGAAGAGGCUCCUCAACCGUUUGGAGUUUCACUCUUGUCACCCAGGCUGGACUGCAAUGGCGC